AGGAUAAACGCUGGCGGCGUGCCUAACACAUGCAAGUCGAACGUCCUUGCGGUCUUCUUCUUCGGAGGAGGACCGCGAGGGAGUGGCGGACGGGUGAGUAACACAUGGGUACCUGCCUUUCAGUGAGGAAUACCGGCGAGAAAUCGCCGACAAGACCGCAUAGGCUUCCUUCGGUAGCCCGAGGGAAGCAAAGUUACUUCGCGAGAGGUGACGCUGGAAGAGGGGCCUGUGGCCGAUUAGCUAGUUGGGGGGGUAACGGCCUCCCAAGGCGACGAUCGGUAGCUGGUCUGAGAGGACGAUCAGCCACACUGGGAUUGAGAACGGCCCAGACUCCUACGGGGGGCAGCAGUGAGGAAUUUUCCGCAAUGGACGCAAGUCUGACGGAGCAACGCCGCGUGCAGGAUGACGGCCUUCGGGUUGUAAACUGCUUUUCUGUGAGACGAGAACGGACGGUAUCACAGGAAUCAGCCCCGGCUAACUACGCGCCGGCAGCCGCGGU
rnacentral:rRNA from 1 species